UGCAGUUUUGGUUCACCUUUAUGCCGGAGACUAAUCACCUCUAACAGAAGUUCACGGACUGCUGAAGGAAACUAACCAAAGCAAGCGCCUUUCGAAAUGAUCUGGUACUUUUUUUUAUAGGGCUUUUCUCAUAAAUGUUUAGUCAGGCCUAGAUCGAAAGGUUGCCCCAGCCUGCAGUAAAAAAAAUCAUCAUUCGAAAUCAUAUGUCAAUUCCUACAGAGCAGGGGGUGUAUCGAAGCAUACAUCCUAAGUUGGGGCAUCCUGAGCCAAUGCCAAAAGUUUUUUUUAUGGUCGAAACACUCGACCUUCAAGCUACUAAUCCGAACUGGUCUCGUCCCAUACAUGUUGGGGAACCCUGUUUUUAAGCUGACGCUUGAUAAGAACAAGUAGCUGUAAAGGUUAUUACCGUACUGCCUCAAUCACCUCUUUGAAAGAGUCUCAUCCUCCGCCGAACCUUUGAAAUUGGCUUCGACCGUAGUCUGAAUCUUUGGCCGCCUCUCGUGUGUCUCCUUCAAAAUGUCUAAAUUAUUUUCUACUGGCCAGCAUCCAACGCUUAGGAAGUCUUCUUCGAGAUGUAAUUAACUGCUAAAUCAUGUCUCCUCCUUGAAAAAGUUGGCUUGCAUAACAUAACGAGAGAAACGUGUAAUUGCUCUAAGUGCGAGUGCGCGCGCUACUACUACAUCACACUCUUGAAAUAACAUUCAAGAAGUUAAGCUUCAGAGGCAUUGAUUUGGAUGCUCUCCUUGAUAUGUCCACUGAUGAGCUGGUCAAGCUGUUCCCUGCUCAUGCCUACAGAAAGUUUCGAGAGGUCUCAAACGAAAGCCUAUGGCUUUGAUUAAGAAACUCCGCAAGGUGAAAAGGGAGGUCCCCACCUGGUAAGAAGCCACAACCUAUUUUUUAUUUUAUUUGCUUGUUCUUUUUUUUUAUUUUUUUUUAGAAUUUUUUUUGCAUGAAUAAAUAAAAAGGGAAUAAAAAAACAUAAAAUAAAAUUUUCAAAAAAAAAAAGUUUUUUUGAGGAAAAGUUGAAAGUAUCAAUUUUCCUCAAAAAUCAAAGUUUCCAAAAAAUAUUUUUGGGGAAAAGUUGAAAGUAUCAAUUUUCCUCGAGAUUAAAAUUUCUAAAGAAUAUUUUAGGGAAAAGUUAAAAGUAUCAAUUUUUUCUGCACAAAAAAUAAUCAUUCUUUUCUUUCUUUUUAUUUUUUAAUUUUAAAUAAUCCGACGAUGGAGCCUCUGCAAGUGAAACAGUAGUUUUUCUUGCAUACUCUUGAGGUGAGGGAAUUUUCUCAAUUUUUUGCUAAAAGUAUUAGAGUCAAUUGAGAAUAAUUUUCAAUAAUUAAUUACUUGGUAAAAUUUUAAGGCUUAUUGGAUAACAUAAAUUUCAGCUGAUACCAUCUUUUGAUGGGCGUUGUGAGGGUGCUAUAACCUUCCUCACACGUAAUUGAACUCCCGAACCUUGUUCUGGUUAGCAGACCUGAACCUAUUCUUUUAGGGACCCUUAAGCUUAGGUGUUUCAUGAAAGGCUAAAUUCUUUAGGUGGCCAAUCGCACGUAGAUAAAAAAGAUUGGUGGCGACUCCCUAAAGUCAAUGUCUAGCGAUAGAUCCCCGGAUCUAGAUGUUAUGACAGCUUGGCGACUCCACUGGAGAUUUUGAGAGUCAGGCCAGCAAAUAAUUUGUGUUAUCCAAAAGCCUAAUAAAAUUGAACCUUUUUGUAUAUAUGUGUUAUUAUUCAUUAUUGUUUAUUCAUUUUGUUAAUUAUGUCAUUUAUAUGCAUGUGCAUAACAUGAGCUCUAUACCCGAGCUCCGUCCCUCUAGGAGGGAGUAAAGUACCUAUUGCUUUCGUGAGGUCUAAUACCUCCGCAGUGGCUAGCGAAAUACUCCCACUCAAAUUGAACCUUUUCUGCUUGUAGCCUGUAAUGGGUGAGGAUUAGGGUGCCUUACUAGUCUGUGAUUGACAAGGAUGUAAGGAACAAUUUGAGGACCUUUAGACUUUGACCUUAAAAUCGCAUAUAGUGAACCUUAAGAAUGCCUAAACCUAGGAUAGAGCCCUUUCUACUCAAUGAUAGAUAUACCCUGAAAUUAAGACACAAAAAGAGUGUUUAUCUAAUCAUUUUGAUUGUUUAACUUUGUGUAUCAUUUUCAUUAUCAUAUGUAACAUUAUGCAUCAGCAUCACUUUCAUUUCAUCCAUGGAACUAACUAUGUUGUUUGUCUAAUUGUAUGCAUCUGCAUUAUUUUCAUGACCAUGUUUUAACACAAUCAUUUGCACCCAUUUCAUACUAGAUUUCAUUCAGAAAAAUGUGCAUUUCAUUUGAGCAUCAUACAUAAAGCAUAGCAUAACAUUUCUAAUCAUAGGUAUGGUAUUCAAGGUUCCAGGAUAGCUCCAUCUAGCGAAAACCCUGCUCAUCCAUACAACAUAAGAUCCAGAGCAAGGCAAGUGGAGGAAGAAAGUUCCCAUAGAUUUGAAAAGCUAGAAAAAGUACAAGAGAAGAUUGAAAAUGAACUAAGCAAGAUUCUAGAGGCUCUUAAUAACAUGAAUAAAGGAAAAGCAGUUGAAGGAAAUACAAGUCAGCAAGAUGUGGCUGACCCUUUGUACCCUCCAGGUUUUGGCCCACCUCAAGCCCAGUCUACUCAAGAGGCCCCGCCAUAACAUUUCGUAUAUCCUGGAGUGCCAUCAGCUUUCAACCCAGGGCAGUAUAAUAGCUAUGUAAAUCCUGUAUUCACUGAAAAAAUAGUAGAACCAAUUCCUGAUCUAGAUGAUUUAAAAGAGAAAGAGAAAGAAAAAAUGAGAGUGGAAGUUCAGAAAAGCUCCAAAAUUAGCAUGUUAGAGCAGAGGCUACGGGCUGUGGAAGGAUUUAACUUUUAUGGGUCAGUUGAUGCUGCAGGGCUCUGCCUAGUUCCUGAUGUGGUUAUUCCUCAUAAAUUUAAAGUACCGAAAUUUAAAAAAUAUGACGGUACAAAGUGCCCCAAAACCCACAUUACCAUGUAUUACAGGAAGAUGGCAGCUCACGCACAUGAUGAAAAACUCUUGAUGCAUGUCUUCUAGGAUAGCCUUGCUGGUUCUGCUGCCAGGUGGUAUGUUCAAUUGGAUAGGACCCACAUUCGUUCCUGGAGCGAUAUGGCAUAUGACUUCAUCAGUCAAUAUCGACAUGUUAUCGAUUUGGCCCCUGAUCGUUUGUCUUUACAAAAUCUGAAGAAAAAGACAAACGAGUCUUUUAAAGAAUACGCCCAGAGGUGGAGAGAUGUUGCUUCUCAAGUACAACCUCCUUUGACUGAGAAAGAAACUACAGUAUUAUUCGUCAGUACUUUGAAGUCUCCUUAUUAUGAAAAGAUGAUAGAGAAUGCAACAAAGAAUUUCGCUGACAUGGUAAUCUCUGGAGAAAUUAUUGAAAGUGCCAUAAAAAAUGGUAAGUUAAAAGGAGGAGAAACCAAGAAGACAUCAGAAAAGAAAGAAGCUGAAGCUCAAGCUGUGAGCUUUGAUAGACAACAAUUCAGGGGUUAUCAACCCUAUCCAUCUCAAGGUUACUCUUCAUACAAUCCUACUGUGAAUAAUGCCUCAUCCUACCCAUACCAGCUAGCUCCAUAACCACCUUAUUCAUCCACACACCAAUCAAUUUUUAGCCCCCAAGAUCUUACAUAUAGCCUUAACAUUCAAGCUCCUGCAAGAACCCAAAUUCACCCUAUUUACCCAGCAAGUGGUUCACGAGAACAACGAACUACUCGAGAAAAAUCUUAUUUGAUCCAAUCCCUAUGACUUAUACAGAGUUAUAUCGAGAACUCUAUAAUAGCCAUUUGAUUGCCCCCAGCAAUGUGGAGCUGCUUAAACCACCCUACCCAAAGUGGUAUGAUCUUACAGCCCACUGCGACUACCACUAUGGAAUUACUGGUCAUUCUACUAAAAAUUACACUGCUUUAAAGCAUAAGUUGCAACGAUUGAUCAAUGAUGGAAUGGUAAGUUUUGAUCAAGGGAAAGCAACAACACCUAAUGUUAGCUUUCUGAGUGAAAGUCGAGAACAGAAAGGGUCCGGAGAGUCACAAUGAAUUAAGGGGCAAGAUGUCAAUAGAGAUUCUUCACCUGAUUGCAUAGGAGGAUAAUUUUAAAGAAUGGAGAUAAGGCUGGUUGAAGGUUUUUUUUUGUCAUUUUAGGGUUUCUUUUCGAGUGAUUGUUGGAUUUUUUUUUGCAAUAUGAUUUCACUUGUUAUCAUCUUAAUAAAGGCAAGUUAAUGCAUUUCAUUACAUUUUCUCUUUCACUUGACCAUUACUCCAUGCUCUGUUACCUUUCAUAACUUUAUACUCCCAUUCUUCAAUUUCAGAUGAUGAAUAUUUAGACAAUGAUAACAAUAAUUCUGAGAUUUAAUUCUGAGAACUCAACCAUAUUAAUAUGAAGAGAUGAUUUGAGCAAAAAAAGGUAAGCCAUUACCAGAGGUGAAAUAGAUAUGUCCUGAAGAUAUGUAGUCUUUUAUACAGGAUCAUGAGCUUUGUUUAAUAGAGGAUGUUCAAGGAAAGUAUUCACAAUUGAGAUGAAAAAUGGUCAUAUUUCUUUUACCAUUUGAAAAACCACUUAUUACUACCCCUUUGAGCCUAUUAUGAUUUCUUUUUCUAAAGAACCCCAACCAAGGAUCACCCUCUACACUGGGGGGUAAUUUUUGAAAAAAAUCACAAAAAGUCUCAAAGAUGGAAAGAGAAAGAAAAGUAAAAGAAAAAAUAAAUGCCACAAAUGAUUUGGGGUAAAAUAAUGAGAAUCCUUUGUGUGAGGAAAAGAAAAAUAGUGAAAUGAUGUGGGGGCAAAAUGCCAAGCUGUAUCAAAUGAUCCUUUGGUCUUGAACCUUUUUAAUAUAUGUUUUGAGCCUAUUAUAUCCAUUUUUUUUUACCCUUCACCUUGGCCUACAUUACAACCUUCAAAAGUCCAUUUGGAUCAAGUGUGAAUACUCAACUUGAAUGAUCAUAUGUUGAGCGAAGGUAUACUCAUGAUGAAGCAAUGGAAUUAUGCUACAUUACUCUGAAGUUAGGUGUAUGGAAGAUAUCAACAAUGGAUGAAAAGUGAGCAAAAAGAAAAAAAAUGAUGAAAAAAAAAGAGAAGAAAAAAAGAAAAAUGAAAGAAGGAAAAAAUGAAAAUGAAAAGAAAUUCAAAUUGAAAAUCUGAAAGGGUGAUUUUGGUAGAAAAAAAAAAGAUCCAGGUCAAAUGGCCUACAUGAAUGAAAGACAUCUGAAGAUCCCUCAAAGACUGGGGCAAAGUUUGCUAAGCUCAAGAUGCUUCAAAUGGAAUGAGUUUUUGGAAAAGAAUCCUAGAUUAAUGUUGAGAAUUGUUUGAAUAUUCAUCAUUUGGACAUACCAUCCAUCCCAAUGACAUAUAUCCAAUUCAUUUCCUUCCCCAUUUGCUUUGUACCAAAACAGAUCUUCAUUAAUUAUCUUUACCAUAAUUCACCUUGCGUUCUCUUAUUGUUUCACCCCUAGAAUGAAUUGAAAAAAAUGCUUGAUUGCAUUGUAUUUGUCAAGAAUUGAAAUGAUAAUGAAUGAAUGAAUAUGUGCUUAAAAGAGUCUUGCAAUCAUUUGAAAAUAAAUCUAAAAUGAUGGUGGUAACAAAAUGAAAAAAUGGUAGAAACCUAAAAGAGAUGAUUUGGAAUGAUAUAUGAUGUGACCAAAUGGAGAAUAUAAUGGGGCAAAUCUUGAAAAGUGAUAUAACCAAGUGAUGAGUACAAAGAUGAAUUGGUUGAUAUGACUUACAAUUUAUGAUUGAAUGAUGAGAACAAUCAGUGGACAAAGUCUAUUUUGGAAUGGUUAAUGCUGAAACACCUAUGAGUAAUGACCCAGUGAUGGUGGAUGAAACUUGUUUUGAAAUUUGUUAGUGCUGAGAAAUUCAUUGAAUGAUGGUCAAGUGAUGAUCGAUUGAUGAAGCUUAUUCCAAAGUAUUGAGAAACUGAACAAGGAAGAAUGUGAGUGGAAAAGAUAAUUGAGAGCUAUACUGGUUCAAUCUUAGAAGAGCAGUGAAUUGGAUCUCUGAAGAAUCAAAGGGCUUGAUGCCUAAGAAAAGAGCUUGAGAAAUUUGAGUACCAUACAUUGAACAUGAAUUAAUUGACCAACAUUUGCAUAGCAUGCAUUGAAAUUCAUAUGCAUUGCAUUGCAUACACUACUUUCAGGAAAAAAUAGUGUAUAAAUUCAAGAAGCAAAGGUGUUCCAAUAUCCCACAUGGAGAAGACAGAUAUGAAGAUAUUUUAUAAAAUUGAAAAAGAAAAAGCUUGUCAGGUAAGUCCCUAAUCCUUGAAAUAGGAUGUCUUCUGGUAUCAGGGUUGAUUUAUAAGACCUUUGGGUAUAAUCUCCUGAAAUUCCUUCAAACACAACUUUCAACUUCUUUGGACAGGAUUGUCAAGGAGCAAUUUAUUUUUCAAAGUCGUGGUGCCUCUGUUUAGAGGAGCAAUUUACUUUCCAAAGUCGUGGUGCCUCUGUUUAGAGGAGCAAUUUACUUUUUCAAAAGUCAUGGUGCCUUUGUUUAGAGGAGCAAUUUACUUUCAAAGUCGUGGUGCCUCUGUUUAGAGGAGCAAUUUACUUUCAAAGUCGUGGUGCCUCUGUUUAGAGGAGCAAUUUACUUUUCAAAGUCGUGGUACCUCUGUUUAGGGGAGCAAUUUACUUUUUCAAAGUCGUCGUGCCUCUGUUUAGAGGAGCAAUUUACUUUUCAAAAGUCGUGGUGCCUCUGUUUAGAGGAGCAAUUUACUUUUUCAAAGUCGUGGUGCCUCUGUUUAGAGGAGCAAUUUACUUUUCCAAAGUCGUGGUGCCUCUGUUUAGAGGAGCAAUUUAUUUUCCAAAGUCAUUGAGCCUCUGUUUAGAGGAGCUUUGAAAAAAAACAAAAUAAAAAAAACAAAAAAAUUAAAAAAACAAAAAAACAAAAAAACAAAAAAAAACAAAAACAAAAAAAUAAAAAAAAACAAAAAAAUUACCUCUGUUUAAGGGAGCCUUGUCUAUGUAUCUCAAAGUCGUUUAGCUGCUGCUUAUAGGAGCUUUGAUCAAAAUUAAAAAAAAUAAAAAAAUAGACAAAAAAAAAUCCAGUUGAGUCUUGAAUGGGUGUCUACGUCUUUGCACAAUUUUGUUUCACAAAAAAGUACAAAGAGGGGCAGCUGUAGACACCCCAUUUUGUCCGAGAUUUUUUGUCAAUUAAAGCUUAGUUGUGGGGAUUUUUAUUCAUUUUUAUUUUAAAUUUUCUAUUUCAUAUUUAUCAUUUUUAUUUUUAUUUUAUGAUUUAUUUUCUUUUUCUUUCUUUUGAUUAUCUGAUUAAUUUAAAAAAAACAAAAGGAAAAAAAGCUGAAAGAGUGAAAUUAAACUUGGUGAUUGUGAUGAUUGUUAUCUAGAUGCUAAUCUUUAGCCUUAGAUGACUAAUUGGAAUUGAAUUGAAACUCUAUCAGCAUGGGUCUAUAUAUCAACAAUGAAUAUACAAGUUGAAGGGGGAGAAAAAAACAGAAGCCAAACAAAAGGGGAAGCCCCCAUCGACACCAAGCCUUCGAGGCUUCCCCUCUGUGGGAAACCUUCCCUUUCUUGACCCUGCCUUUGGUUCCACAAGCAUCCCUGCCUUUGGUUCAACUGGAAGUCCAGCAUUUGGGAGCACUGAAACUGCAUUUGGUGUGUCUAAUGCCUAGGAAGAAAGAUGAGGAAACAAAGCAAACAACCACAAGUACCAAAACUCAGCAUUUGGAGUGCUUGCUAGGCUGUUCGCCUCACUGUCUGCUCCUCUUCUCGUACCCGUUUGAGUAUGCGACAGAUAGAGACACAUACAACAUGCAGAGGAAUAGAGAUGAAGGAGUCGGAGAGAGAAAAAUAGAGUGACAUGCAACUCACCAAUGCAAGUAUUCCCUCAGGUAUGGGUCACUUGGGCUGGGCGCAUCAGGAUCCACCAUAACCUGCAGCGAAUGUGAACGAGGCUGAUCGACAAACCAAAAACCCUACUCGAUAAUAUAAAUAAAUGAGAAGAUGCAGGAAGAGAAAAACUUGAUAGCAAGUAAGGAAACGUGAGGCUGCUGGUAUAAAAAAAAAAGGAAAGAAUCGAAAAAAAGACUGGACAGUAGGAACAGAAAGAAUGCAGCUGCAGUUUUGGUUCACCUUUAUGCCGGAGACUAAUCACCUCUGACAGAAGUUCGCGGGCUGCUGAAGGAAACUAACCAAAGCAAGCGCCUUUCGAAACGAUCUGGUACUUUUUUUUAUAGGGCUUUUCUCAUAAAUGUUCAGUCAGGCCUAGAUCGAAAGGUUGCCCCAGCCGGCAGUGAAAAAAAUCAUCAUCAACGAUGAUUCGAAAUCAUAUGUCAAUUCCUACAGAGCAGGGGGUGUAUCGAAGCAUACAUCCUAAGUCGGGGCAUCCUGAGCCAAUGCCAAAAGUUUUUUAUGGUCGAAACACUCGACCCUCAAGCUACUAAUCCGACCUGGUCUCGUCCCAUACAUGUUGGGGACCCCUGUUUUUGAGCUGACGCUUGAUAAGGACAGGUAGCUGUAAAGGUUAUUACCGUACUGCCUCAAUCACCUCCUUGAAAGGGUCUCAUCCUCCUCCGAACCUUUGUAAUUGGCUUCGACCGUAGUCUGAAUCUUUGGCCGCCUCUCGUGUGUCUCCUUCAAAAUAUCUAAAUUGUUUUCUACUGGCCGGCGUCCAACGCUUAGGAGGUCUUCUUCGAGAUGUAAUUAACUGCUAAAUCAUGUCUCCUCCUUGAGAAAGCUGGCUUGCAUAACAUAACGAGAGAAGCGCGUAAUUGCUCUAAGUGCGAGCGCGCGCGCUACUACUACAUCACACUCUUGAAAUAACAUUCAAGAAGUUAAGCUUCAGAGGCGUUGAUUUGGAUGCUCUCAUUGAUAUGUCCACUGAUGAGCUGGUCAAGCUGUUCCCUGCUCAUGCCUACAGAAGGUUCCGAGGGGUCUCAAACGAAAUCCCAUGGCUUUGAUUAAGAAACUCCGCAAGGCGAAACUCCGCAAGGUGAAAAGGGAGGUCCCCACCUGGUAAGAAGCCACAGCCUAUUUUUUAUUUUAUGUGCUUGUUCAUUUUUUUUUUAGAAU
rnacentral:lncRNA from 1 species